rnacentral:lncRNA from 1 species
GCCUUCAAAGGAGCCUUGUACACAAUCUCUAGGUGAGGAAUGACUUUGUAAUCCGAGGCAUAAGGUAAUUGUAAAUGAUAAGUCACCUAUUAUCUAUUAGAGUUCAGAAUGACUCAAAAGUUAAAGUGAUUCAUGUGUUUUGCUGAUGGAUAAGAAAGAUGUUUUGAAAAAUAGGAAAUAGGCUCUUUCCUAGAAUACCUAUAAUAUACUUAAACAUGUAAUGCACAUACAUAAUGUAUAUCAUUAUGAGAUGAAUUGUGUCUCACAAAAUUCAUAACUUAAAGCUGUAACCCGCAGUACUUUGAAUGUGACUGUAUUCAGAGAAAGAACGUUCACAGAGAUCUCAAAUUAACAGCCCAUUAUUAUGGAAGUUCUUUAUUGAUCGCCAAAAUGGGUUAGGUAUACCUGUUAACAAGAACCUGAGACCUGCCGAACAGCAGGUGCCAAAGAUGCUGCUGUAACACCACAGCCCUCCCAUCUUCCAUCCUCCACUGGCGCUGAGUGGCAGUCCCAUGUGACAGGAAGUGGAGGCAGAGCUGGGCCAGCCCAGGAGCCACGUGCUGGAGCCAGAUACUCUGUUUUUCUACAAAUGGAAAGUUUGUGGCAUCCUUGACUCAAGCAAAUUUUUCAGCACCAUUUUUCAAGAGCGUGUGCUCACUUCACCUCUCUGUAUCGUGUUUUGAUGCUUGUCCUGGAAACCAACCAUGAGCUGUGAUGAAAUCCAGGCAACUGAGUUGUGUUUCAGCCCAAAGCAGCAAAUGGAAUCCAGCUUCAGGACCAUCAUCUGACAUAGGGGAAGAAGACUUACAUAGAAGGCCUAACCAGCACCCAAGAUCAUGCUCAUAGGUGGAGGAGACUUGCUUUGUCUCAGAUGAGACUUUGGACUGUGGACUUUUGAGUUAAUGCUGAAAUGAGUUGAGACUUUGGGGAACUGUUGGGAAGGCAUGAUUGGUUUUAAAUAUGAAUAUAUGAGAUUUGGGAGGGGGUCAGGGGUGGAAUGAUAUGGUUUGGCUCUGUGUCCCCACCCAAAUCUCAUCUUGUAGCUCCCAUAAUCCUCCCAUGUUGUGGGAGGGACCCAGUGGGAGAUGAUUGAAUCAUGAGGGCGGGUCUUUCUCAUGCUGUUCAUGAUCCCAUUCAUGUGAGAAAGACCCAUGUGAUCAUGAAUGGGUCUCACAAGAUCUGAUGGUGUUAAAAAUGGGAGUUUCUCUGCACAAGCUCUCUGCCUGCUGCCAUUCACAAAGGAUGUGACUUGCUUCUCCUUGCCUUCUGCUAUGAUUGUGAGGCCUCCCUAGCCAUGUGGAACUGUGAGUCCAAUUAAACCUCUUUCUUUUGUAAAUU